CUGCUAUGAUGUUUUCUUAGGACACCUUUGGAUUAUCUAUGAAAAUAACACCCAAAUCUGAGCAGC